rnacentral:rRNA from 1 species
UACGGAGGGUGCGAGCGUUAGCCGGAAUUACUGGGCGUAAAGCGUGCGCAGGCGGUUUUGUAAGGCAGGUGUGAAAUCCCCGGGCUUAACCUGGGAAUGGCAUUUGGGACUGCAAGGCUUGAGUGCGGCAGAGGAGACUGGAAUUCCUGGUGUAGCAGUGAAAUGCGUAGAUAUCAGGAGGAACACCGAUGGCGAAGGCAGGUCUCUGGGCUGACACUGACGCUCAUGCACGAAAGCGUGGGGAGCAAACAGG